UACAGAGGGUGCGAGCGUUAAUCGGAAUUACUGGGCGUAAAGCGCACGUAGGUGGCUUGGCAAGUCGGGUGUGAAAUCCCCGGGCUCAACCUGGGAACUGCAUUCGAGACUGCCUUGCUAGAGUAUGGGAGAGGGAAGUGGAAUUUCCGGUGUAGCGGUGAAAUGCGUAGAUAUUCGCAAGAACACCAGUGGCGAAGGCGGCUCACUGGCCCGAUACUGACGCUGAGGCACGAAAGCGUGGGGAGCAAACAGG
rnacentral:rRNA from 1 species